GCCAGGCACGGUGGCGUGUGCCUGUAGUCCCAGCUACUCGGGAGGCUGAGGUGGGAGGAUGGCCUGAGUCCAGGAGUUCUGGGCUGUAGUGCGCUAUGCCAGUCGGGUGUCUGCACUAAGUUCGGCAUCAAUAUGGUGACCUCCUGGGACUAGGGGACCACCAGGUUGCCUAAGGAGGGGUGAACCAGCACAGGUUGGAAAUGGAGCAGGUCAAAACUCCCGUGCUGCUCAGUAGUGGGAUCUCACCUGUGAAUAGCAAUUGGACUCCAGCCUGGGCAACAUAGCGAGACCCCAUCUCU
rnacentral:SRP_RNA from 1 species